GACGUAGGGCGCGAGCGUUGUCCGGAAUUAUUGGGCGUAAAGAGCUCGUAGGCGGUUUGUUGCGUCGGCUGUGAAAUCCCGAGGCUCAACCUCGGGUCUGCAGUCGAUACGAGCAAACUAGAGUGUUGCAGGGGAGACUGGAAUUCCUGGUGUAGCGGUGAAAUGCGCAGAUAUCAGGAGGGAACACCGGUGGGCGAAGGCGGGGUCUCUGGGCAACAACUGACGCUGGAGGAGCGAAAGCGUGGGGAGCGAACAGG
rnacentral:rRNA from 1 species